rnacentral:rRNA from 1 species
UACGUAGGUGGCAAGCGUUGUCCGGAUUUACUGGGCGUAAAGGAUGCGUAGGCGGAUAUUUAAGUGAGAUGUGAAAUUCCCGGGCUUAACUUGGGAGCUGCAUUUCAAACUGGGUAUCUAGAGUGUGGGAGAGGAAAGUGGAAUUCCUAGUGUAGCGGUGAAAUGCGUAGAGAUUAGGAAGAACCCCAGUGGCGAAGGCGACUUUCUGGACCAUAACUGACGCUGAGGCAUGAAAGCGUGGGGAGCAAACAGG